rfam:Gossypium hirsutum cultivar TM-1 chromosome 10, whole genome shotgun sequence
UAUUAAAAAUUUCAUCAAUUUGUAUUAUUAAAAAUUGGUGUGGUUGAUGAAAUUACAAGACUGACGUGGUGUGCCUCGUAUACCAUAUAUUAACGAACAAAGACCAGUUUUUAAUAGUAAAAAUGAAUAGAAUUUUUAACA